AACGCUGGCGGCGCGCUUAACACAUGCAAGUCGAGCGAGAACCGGGACUUCGGUCCCGGGGACAGCGGCGAACGGGUGAGUAACACGUGGGUAAUCUGCCCUCGAUUCUGGGACAGCCCGGGGAAACCCGGAUUAAUACCGGAUAGCCUUUCGAGCCUUCGGGCGCGACAGGAGAGGAAGCUUCGGCCUCCGAUCGAGGAUGAGCCCGCGGUGGAUUAGCUUGUUGGCGGGGUAAUGGCCCACCAAGGCGACGAUCCAUAGCUGGUCUGAGAGGACGAUCAGCCACACUGGGACUGAGACACGGACCAGACUCCUACGGGAGGCAGCAGUGGGGAAUCUUGCGCAAUGGGCGAAAGCCUGACGCAGCGACGCCGCGUGGGGGAAGAAGGCCUUAGGGUUGUAAACCUCUUUCAGGUGGGACGAAGCCACUCGGGUGAAUAGCCCAGAGGGUGACGGUACCGCCAGAAGAAGCCCCGGCUAACUUCGUGCCAGCAGCCGCGGUAACAC
rnacentral:rRNA from 1 species